rnacentral:lncRNA from 1 species
CAAAUUCUUACUCUUUUAUCAUUUCUUUGUAUUAACUAUCAUUUAAACACACACAACACCAAAACACGUUCCUACAUAGCCAUUUCAAUAACUAAUCAUUAUCGAAUAUUUACUUGCUACUCCUUAGACAUAUCAUAAGGAUACACACAAAAUGACCAAGUCCCUAUACAUGCCAUAUAAAUCAAAAAGUUGUUUAACAAAAUCUACCGGAGUAAAUCUGGAUGGUGUGGUUGUUGAUGUAGAUCCGAUCCUCCAAACAUAUAUAUAUAUCAAUCUACAAGAAACAAUAAUCACACACAAGUAAGCUUACAGAAAGCUUAGUAAGUUCAUAGGCUCAUAAUAAAAUCUUACCAAAAUUUCACUAACAAUAUUAAUAAACAAUAAAAAUUCAACAUUUCCUGCCAACCACAAUCUCAAACAGUGAAUCUAUCCAAUCGAGCUCAAUAUCAGAUGUCAACUUAUAUUCCGACAUUUAGCUUCAUUUGCACUUACAAAUACCUGCCAAAUUAAGGAUCGUCUUACGGAUUUAAGUACAUUGUUUGCCCGGUGCUAUGAUUUGCUUGAAUAUUUCACAUUGUUAUAACUCAGUAUGGUUUUCUUCACUGAAACACCAUACUUAAUUUUCAUAACUCAGUAUGGUUUUCUUUAUCGAAAUACCAUACCUACUUUUCACAACUCAAUAUGGUUUUCUUCACUGAAAUACCAUACCUACGUUUCACACUUUGCCAUGGAUCCACCAUGGACUUAUUCGUAAAUUCAUCACUGGUUAUCGAACGUAUGUACUCAAUCCUACGUAUCCCUUAAUUUGAACUAACAAUCUCAUUUUAUUCUUAUUUUUACCAUAAUCAUAAUUCAACAAAAAUAUACGAAUUGAUACAUUAUAUCAAUCCCACAUUAACAAUUAAUCAUAAAAGUUCAACCAUAUGAACUUACUUGGGCCAAUUUGUAGAAGUUGUAAAAGUUUAGAGACUAAUUUGAUACUUUCUCUUUUCCACGUUUAUCUUCGGAUUCCCGAUCUAUAAUAUAAAAUUUUCCAUUUAUUAGCAUCUAAUUCAAUACUAAUUCACUUCACAAUUUAUGCCCUUCAAUUUUCGAAAUUAUAGUUUUACCCUAAAAUUUACAAUUUAGUCCCUACUCAAUUAACACUUUAAUUGAUCUAAUUUUUCUCAAUUUACACCUUGUCCAACCAUUUUAGACUACUAUAUUACCUUUGAUAUUCAAAACCACAACACCAAACCCUAAUUCUAAACUUUUUUUACAAUUAAGUCCCUAAAAUCAAUUUCUAUCAAAAUUACUUAAUAAGAUCAUCAUAUAAUAAAAUUAAAGCUUUAAUUCCAUAUUCAUUCAUCAUAAAAAUCCAGCACUCAUCAAUGGUAACUUUAAAAAUCAGCCAUGAAAUCAAUAACUAAUGAAAUAAUUAGUUGGACCUAAUUGUAAAAGUGUCAAAAUCACAAAAAUUACAAGAAAUAAUCAAGAAUUAAACUUACAUGGUUCAAAUAUAUGAAAAAUCAGCUUGGACGGACUCUUCA